AACGAACGCUGGCGGCAUGCCUAACACAUGCAAGUCGAACGAGACCUUCGGGUCUAGUGGCGCACGGGUGCGUAACGCGUGGGAACCUGCCCUUAGGUUCGGAAUAACUCCCCGAAAGGGGUGCUAAUACCGGAUAAUGUCUUCGGACCAAAGAUUUAUCGCCUUUGGAUGGGCCCGCGUUGGAUUAGCUAGUUGGUAGGGUAAAAGCCUACCAAGGCGACGAUCCAUAGCUGGUCUGAGAGGAUGAUCAGCCACACUGGGACUGAGACACGGCCCAGACUCCUACGGGAGGCAGCAGUGGGGAAUAUUGGACAAUGGGCGAAAGCCUGAUCCAGCAAUGCCGCGUGAGUGAUGAAGGCCCUAGGGUUGUAAAGCUCUUUUACCCGGGAUGAUAAUGACAGUACCGGUAGAAUAAGCUCCGGCUAACUCCGUG
rnacentral:rRNA from 1 species